GUUUUAAUAGUUUAAUGAAAACAUUGGUCUUGUAAAUCAAAAAUAAGAAUCAAUCUUUUAAAAUU
rnacentral:tRNA from 1 species